GAUGAACGCUAGCGGCAGGCCUAAUACAUGCAAGCCGGACGGCAAGUUGAGUAGCAAUACUUGACCUAGAGUGGCGUAAGGGUGCGUAACACGUAUACAAUCUGCCCACAGCCGGGGAGAUAGCCCUCCGAAAGGAGGAUUAAUAUCCCAUAGGAAGAUGAGAUGGCAUCAUUUUAUUUUUAAACUACGGGGCUGUGGAUGAGCAUGCGGUUGAUUAGCUAGUUGGCGGGUAAAGGCCCACCAAGGCGAUGAUCAAUAGGGGACCUGAGAGGGUGAUCCCCCACACUGGCACUGAGAUACGGGCCAGACUCCUACGGGAGGCAGCAGUAGGGAAUAUUGGGACAAUGGGUGUAAGCCUGAUCCAGCCAUGCCGCGUGCAGGAAGAAGGCCUUCUGGGUUGUAAACUGCUUUUGCCGGGGGAUAAAGAUCCAUGCGUGGAGAAUUGAAGGUACCCGG
rnacentral:rRNA from 1 species